rnacentral:rRNA from 1 species
AUUGAACGCUGGCGGCAGGCCUAACACAUGCAAGUCGAACGAGUGGCGGACGGGUGAGUAAUGUCUGGGAAACUGCCCGAUGGAGGGGGAUAACUACUGGAAAAGGUAGCUAAUACCGCAUACCAUCGGAUGUGCCCAGAUGGGAUUAGCGAGGAGGUGGGGUAACGGCUCACCGAGGCGACGAUCCCUAGCUGGUAUGAGAGGAUGACCCGCCACACUUGAACUGAGACACGGUCCAGACUCCUACGGGAGUCAGCAGUGUGGAAUAUUGCGCAAUGGGCGCAAGCCUGAUCCAGCCAUGCCGCGUGUAUGAAGAAGGCCUUCGGGUUGUAAAGUACUGUCAGCGAGGAGGCGUUACUCUCAGAAGAAGCACCGGCUAACUCCGUGCCAGCAGCCGCGGUAAUAC